AACAAAAUGGCAAUGGGCCAAUUUAUCGAAUAACAAAAAAAUGUAAACAAAAAGUUGGAGGAAAAUGUCAGGUAGUAGAAAAUAAGAAAAAACAAAAUGAAAACUUAAAAAAAUUGGAUCUAUCUAGAUUGUGGAAGGAAACCAAACUUGCACCGAUGGAAUAUGAUUUUUGAGAUUAGGAAAGUGAGCUUUCUCUUUAGAUCGUCGCCGGUCAGAGCUACUCCGUCAUCUAUUAGCUCCUGUGAGCUUUUCCAUCUCACUGUAUCACACUGGAAAUAAGAUUUUGAUCGGAAUUGUAUUUAGAUCUAGAGUCAUUCCGUCAACAAUCGUAUGUUUCGUGAAAUGUUGAUGUCUUCUUCAGCUCUAUUUUGCGUCGAUGUUACUCUAUUUGGGAUGGUCAACUAAGGUAUUAUAUUUUAAA